rnacentral:lncRNA from 1 species
GCUUGGGGGGGAGCAGCUGGAAGAUGUCGUAAAUCUGGUCCUUGAAACCACGAGACAGCAUCUCAUCAGCCUCAUCCAGCACGAACAUCUUGAUGAAGUCCGCGCGCAGGCAGCGGCGGCGCAGCAUGUCGUACACGCGGCCAGGGGUGCCCACAACCACAUGCACACCAGCACCCAGGAUGCGGGCAUCCUCGCGCACACUGGUCCCACCCACACAGGCGUGGCACUUCACCUGUCAAUGGAAGGGUGCGUGCAGGCAUGCGUGUUUUUCAGCUUGCCCACACAUCCAUGCAAGCAUCCACACAUGCAUGCAGGCCUGCAAAAGCAACAGCUGCCGCUACAAAGGGGGUAGUUUACAGAACACGCAACCAUACUUACAAGUCAAAGGUAUUGUCAGCUUUCGAGCGUAGUCCACAAGUGCAUGGACAUGGACAUACGCAUGGGUGCUGCAUGCAUGCUGCUUCUCCAGAGCUUGCAAACUUGAUGCUCUACCCCCCUGAUUUUGCUGUUCAUGUGCCAGGAUAAAGGCUCCUUUCUCUUCUUUGUGCAGCCACUUAACCCCUCCAAUGUGUGGGUCGCACACAUACCUGGAGGUAGUCACCCAAGGCGCGCAUGACCUUCUCAAUCUGCUGCGCCAACUCGCGGGUGGGGGCCAGCACCAGGCCCUGGCACUCCUGCUGGUUGAAGUCCAAGUUGUUCAGCACACCCGCACAGAAGGUGGCUGUCUUGCCUGUCCCGGACUGGGCCUGCUGAAU